rnacentral:rRNA from 1 species
CUGGUUGAUCCUGCCAGAGGUCACUGCUAUCGGGGUUCGAUUAAGCCAUGCGAGUCGAGAGGGUUCAGACCCUCGGCGGACUGCUCAGUAACACGUGGAUAACCUGCCCUAAGGCGGAGGAUAACCCCGGGAAACUGGGGAUAAUACUCCAUAGGUUAGAGAAACUGGAAUGUUCUUUAACUGAAAGUUGAGGCGCCUUAGGAUGGAUCUGCGGCCGAUUAGGUAGUUGUUGGGGUAACGGCCCAACAAGCCCAUCAUCGGUACGGGUUGUGGGAGCAAGAGCCCGGAGAUGGAAUCUGAGACACGAUUCCAGGCCCUACGGGGCGCAGCAGGCGCGAAAACUUUACAAUGCAGGAAACUGUGAUAAGGGAACCCCGAGUGCCCGUAUACGCGGGCUGUCCGGGUGUAUAAACAGCAUCUGAAGAAAGGGCCGGGCAAGACCGGUGCCAGCCGCCGCGGUAAUACCGGCGGCUCGAGUGGUGACCACUUUUAUUGGGCUUAAAGCGUUCGUAGCUGGACUCUUAAGUCUCUUGGGAAAUCUCGCGGCUUAACCGUGAGGCGUUUAAGAGAUACUGGGAGUCUAAGAACCGGGAGAGGUAAGAGGUACUUCGGGGGUAGAAGUGAAAUUCUGUAAUCCUCGAGGGACCACCGAUGGCGAAGGCAUCUUACCAGAACGGCUUCGACAGUGAGGAGCGAAAGCUGGGGGAGCGAACGGGAUUAGAUACCCGGUAGUCCCAGCCGUAAACGAUGCGCGUUAGGUGUACUGGUGACCACGAGUCACUGGGGUGCCGAAGGGAAACCGUGAAACGUGCCGCCUGGGAAGUACGGUCGCAAGGCUGAAACUUAAAGGAAUUGGCGGGGGAGCACCAC